rnacentral:rRNA from 1 species
GAUGAACGCUAGCGGCAGGCCUAACACAUGCAAGUCGAGGGGUAGCAGGAUUAAGCUUGCUUAAUUGCUGACGACCGGCGCACGGGUGCGUAACGCGUAUGCAACCUACCUUAUACUGGGGUAUAGCCCGGAGAAAUUCGGAUUAAUCCCCCAUAGUACUAAUGAAUCGCAUGGUUUAUCAGUUAAAGCAUUGCGGUAUAAGAUGGGCAUGCGUCCUAUUAGCUAGAUGGUGAGGUAACGGCUCACCAUGGCUACGAUAGGUAGGGGGCCUGAGAGGGUGGUCCCCCACACUGGUACUGAGACACGGACCAGACUCCUACGGGAGGCAGCAGUAAUGAAUAUUGGUCAAUGGGCGCAAGCCUGAACCAGCCAUGCCGCGUGCAGGAAGAAUGCCCUAUGGGUUGUAAACUGCUUUUAUUUGGGAAUAAACCUCUUUACGUGUAGAGAGCUGGAGGUACCAAAUGAAUAAGCACCGGCUAACUCCGUGCCAGCCGCCGCCGUAA